rnacentral:rRNA from 1 species
AUUGAACGCUGGCGGAAUGCUUUACACAUGCAAGUCGAACGGCAGCACGGACUUCGGUCUGGUGGCGAGUGGCGAACGGGUGAGUAAUACAUCGGAACGUGCCCAGUCGUGGGGGAUAACGUAGCGAAAGCUACGCUAAUACCGCAUACGAUCUAAGGAUGAAAGCGGGGGACCGUAAGGCCUCGCGCGAUUGGAGCGGCCGAUGGCAGAGUAGGUAGUUGGUGGGGUAAAGGCGCACCAAGCCGACGAUCUGUAGCUGGUCUGAGAGGACGACCAGCCACACUGGGACUGAGACACGGCCCAGACUCCUACGGGAGGCAGCAGUGGGGAAUUUUGGACAAUGGGCGCAAGCCUGAUCCAGCCAUUCCGCGUGCAGGAUGAAGGCCCUCGGGUUGUAAACUGCUUUUGUACGGAACGAAAAGGCUCUGGUUAAUACCUGGGGCUCAUGACGGUACCGUAAGAAUAAGCACCGGCUAACUACGUGCCAGCCGCCGCAGUAA